rnacentral:rRNA from 1 species
UGCAAAUCAAUAUAAAUUGAUUUAGAUUAUAUUUAUUAUAUAUUAUUUGUUAUUAUUAAUUUAUUAAUUUAAAAAUUAUUAAAAAUAAUUAUAAAAUAGAAUGUUUUAGUAGAUUUUAUUGAAAUAAUAAUAUUUAUAAUAGUUUAUUUUGUAUUGUGAAAGAUUAUUGAAAUAAUUUGAAAAAUUAUUGUUUUAAAAGAAAAAUUUAUUAUUUGUACCUUGUGUAUCAGGGUUUAUUAAAUAAUUAAUAAAUAUUAUUAUUAAUUUCGAUUUUAUAAGAGUUAAUAAUUUAUUAAAGUUAAUGUUUCAUAAUUAUUUUUUAUAAAUUAUUAGAAAUGAAAUGUUAUUCGUUUAUAAAGGUAUCUAGUUUUUUUAGAAAUAAGUUUAAUUUAAAAAUUUUUAAUUUAUUAAUUAUUUAUGUUAAUUAAUAAAUUUAUUAAUUUAAAUAUUUUAAGGGAUAAGCUUUAAAAUAAAUUUUUAUAAAUUAAUAAAAAAUAAUUAAAAUUAUAUGCAUAGAAUUAGUAAUUAUUAAAAAUUUUGUUAUAAAUUAUUUAUAUUUAAAUUGUAUAUUAUUUAUUUUAAUUUUAAAUUUAUAUAAAAAUGUUUUUUAUAAUUUAAUUUAAAAAAUAAUAAUGAUAAAAUUAGUAUAUUAUUAUGUAAAAAUAAUUUUAUUUGAUAAGUUUAUAUAAAGAAUUCGGCAAAUAUUUUACUCGCCUGUUUAACAAAAACAUGUCUUUUUGAGUUAUUUAUAAAGUCUAACCUGCCCAAUGAAUAAAUUUUAAUGGCCGCAGUAUUUUAACUGUGCAAAGGUAGCAUAAUCAUUAGUCUUUUAAUUGGAGGCUUGAAUGAAUGGUUGGACGAAGUAUAAACUGUUUCAUUUAAAUUUUUUAUAGAAUUUUAUAUUUUAGUAAAAAAGCUAAAAUAUUUUUAAAAGACGAGAAGACCCUAUAAAUCUUUAUAAUUUUAAUAUAUUUUUAUUAUUUUGGAUUUAUUAUAUUUAAAUAAUUUUAAAUUAUUUUGUUGGGGUGAUAUUAAAAUUUAAUAAACUUUUAAUUUUGAUAUAUUUUCAUUAAUUUAUGUUUUAUUGAUCCAUUAAUAAUGAUUAUAAGAAUAAGUUACUUUAGGGAUAACAGCGUAAUUUUUUUAGAGAGUUCUUAUUGAUAAAAAAGUUUGCGACCUCGAUGUUGGAUUAAGAUAAAUUUUAGGUGUAGUUGCUUAAAUAAAUAAGUCUGUUCGACUUU